GCUACACGACCCAGAUCUGGUGCCUGGUGCGGCGGGAGAAUCGGGAACGCGGUUGUAAUCCGCGACGUGCCCAGCGCUGUGCGGGGGACCUUGCGAGCAUAUGCCACUGGCCGCGGCCGGGAAGGCGCCCGCCGGGGUUGAUCCCUAGUCAGAAGACCGGCCAGGUGACCGUUGAAGCUG
rnacentral:ncRNA from 16 species